CUACUGUGUGAGGACACAGAGAGAAGGUACUGUCUAUGAAAUAGAAGCAAACCCUCUACUGAUGUCUUGAUUUUGGACUUCCCAACCUCCAGAACUGAGAGCAGGACUGAGCUGAACACCUUCUCUGGAAACAAGAUCUUUUUUAUUUCCACUGCACCUUCGAUUUACGGCGAGUCAUUCUCCAUUGACGAUAAAGAUGUAAAAUUUUCUUUCAAAAUGUAUUUAAGUUUCAGAAGUGAGCUUUGGAAAAAUACAGAGAGGAUAUAGUUCUUACAUGGACUUAGCAAAAGUUAUAAUGAAUGAAGUUUGACAAAUACUUCCAUAUCUUUCAACAACCUGGGAAGACAGGUACAAUUGUUCUCCAUUUAUAGGUAGGAGAUCUGAGGUUCUGAAAAGUUCAGUAAACUUCCGAAGGCUAUUCUAUAGGAAGGUGACUAUUGGGAUUUCAACGUAGAAGUGUCUGCAUCCAAAACUAGUGAGUGCCCUUACCUGUUAGAUACACUGCCUCCCUUAGAUGGCAAUCAUGCUUGCUUCCUCCUAGGACUGUGACUCAGAGCCCUCUGAUUGUAUUUCAUGAUAAAACCAGCCGUUCUCAUUGUAUGCGCCUUGCUGCUGGUCCUCCGUAAGGUCCUCCUCUGGGUAAUUUCAUUGUAAUACUAAGAUGCUGUUUAUCUCUUUUGCUCUUGUUCUCUCACAAGUGUACAAGGAAGUUUUUCCUGAGGCUGCAUGGCAUGUGCUAUCACAACAGAUUGAAUGUAGAAGUAGAUAGGAGAAUCCAGCUACCUUCGAUAAGCCAAACAU